GUUUGGGGAGGAGAGAGAGAAAGGGAAGGGGAGGAGAGAGGAAGGGAGAGGAGAGAAAGGAGGAGGAAGAAGAGGGGUUUGGGGAGGAGAGAGAGAAGGGGAAGGGCAGGAGAGAGGAAGUGAGAGGAGAGAGAGAAACAGGAGGAGGAAGAAGAGGGGUUUGGGGAGGAGAGAGAGAAGGGGAAGGGGAGGAGAGAGGAAGGGAGAGGAGAGAGAGAAAGGGGGAGGAGAGAGAGAAGGAAGAGGAGAGAGAGAAAAAGAAGGAGGAAGAAGAGGGGUUUGGGAAGGAGAGAGAGAAGGGGAAGGGGAGGAGAGA